UGUUUAUAUCAAUUUAAAACCCAACAUUGAUCCCUUUAACUUUACUGAGAAUUUCUAUAGCAUAUAGAAUAUUUUAUGCUAAAACUAGUAACAAGAGAAAACCCUCUCCCCAUGCAAACACAAGCCAGUAAGAACCCGUCACUGGCAAUUAACAGACCUAGACAAGAGUAAUAACAUAACUAGAAAACCCUACUUCUCAUAACUGUUAACCUAACACCAGAGCAUCUCAGGAAAGAUUAAAAGAAAAAGAAGGAACUCGGCAAACAUUAGUCCCGCCUGUUUACCAAAAACAUCGCCUCUUGCUCCUAUAAGAGGUCAAGCCUGCCCAGUGACUUUGUUCAACGGCCGCGGUAUCCUAACCGUGCGAAGGUAGCGUAAUCACUUGUUUUCUAAAUAAAGACCAGUAUGAAAGGCAUCACGAGGACUAAACUGUCUCCUUUUUCCAAUCAGUGAACCUAAUCUCCCCGUGAAGAAGCGGGGAUUAUUAUAUAAGACGAGAAGACCCUAUGGAGCUUAAAACAUUAUAACAUCUGCCACCAAACUCCAACCACUCAGGUGUUUACCCAAAUGGCACUUUGAUUUUAUGUUUUCGGUUGGGGUGACCGCGGAGAAAAAUAGAUCCUCCGCAAUGAAGGGGGCUCCCCCUUAAACAAUAAGCUACAUCUUUAUGUAUCAAUAAAUUGACAUCCAUUGACCCAAUAACUUGAUUAACGAACCAAGUUACCCUAGGGAUAACAGCGCAAUCCACUUUGAGAGCCCCUAUCGACAAGUGGGCUUACGACCUCGAUGUUGGAUCGGGGUACCCCAGUGGUGUAGUCGCUACUAAAGGUUCGUUUGUUCAACGAUUAAAACCUAC
rnacentral:rRNA from 1 species